rnacentral:rRNA from 1 species
CCUACGGGAGGCAGCAGUGAGGAAUAUUGGUCAAUGGGCUCACGCCUGAACCAGCCAAGUCGCGUGAGGGAAGACUGCCCUAUGGGUUGUAAACCUCUUUUGUCAGGGAGCAACGCCCGCGACGUGUAGCGGGACGGAGAGUACCUGAAGAAAAAGCAUCGGCUAACUCCGUGCCAGCAGCCGCGGUAAUACGGAGGAUGCGAGCGUUAUCCGGAUUUAUUGGGUUUAAAGGGUGCGUAGGCGGACUGCAAAGUCAGCGGUAAAAUCGCGGGGCUCAACCCCGCUCCGCCGUUGAAACUGGCGUCCUUGAGUGGGCGAGAAGUAUGCGGAAUGCGUGGUGUAGCGGUGAAAUGCAUAGAUAUCACGCAGAACUCCGAUUGCGAAGGCAGCAUACCGGCGCCCAACUGACGCUGAAGCACGAAAGCGUGGGUAUCGAACAGGAUUAGAUACCCCUGUAGUC